GAUGAACGCUAGCGGCAGGCUUAACACAUGCAAGUCGAGGGGCAGCAUGGGACGGAGAUUCGUCGAAGUCCUGAUGGCGACCGGCGCAAGGGUGCGUAACGCGUGAGCAACUUGCCCGUUUCAGGGGGAUAACCGGUGGAAACGCCGACUAAUACCCCAUAGCAUUGGUUUGAGGCAUCUCUUACCAAUUAAAGAAUUUCGGAAACGGAUAGGCUCGCGUGACAUUAGCUAGAUGGCGGGGUAACGGCCCACCAUGGCGACGAUGUCUAGGGGUUCUGAGAGGAAGGUCCCCCACACUGGAACUGAGACACGGUCCAG
rnacentral:rRNA from 1 species